AUAUUAUGAGGACACUCAACAGCCCUGUGGAGAGGCCCGCAUGGGAGGAACUAAGUCCUCCCACUAGUAGCCAGCACCAACAUGCCAGGCAUCUUAAUGCAUUCCUAACCAAAAUAAUCAGCAUGCACAAUAGCACCUCACUUUACUGGGAGUAACUUGUGUGAUGACUUACUUAUCUACAAUCUGAAAUGAAGCUGAAAGCCCAACUGAACACGAAAACCAAUACCACAAUGUCCAUACCAACCACCUUACCCUUAGGGCAAAGCAUCAGCUUAAGAAACCAGAUUGUAACCAGGAGGGGCUGAACCCAGAAGCUCAGAAUCUGCGUGUGGCUUGGAUAGUCGUGGAGUUCAGUGAGCCCCAUGCCUGGAGUCCUCUGUUCUGGAGUCAGGGCCCUCUGCCCCUCCCAGUGGAGGAGGGGCUCUUCUGUGUUCCAGUCACAGCCCAGCCACCCUCCUAAAAGGAUCAUUCCCAGGUCACCUGGCCUGAAUUUGGAAACUGGUGAGAUCACAGGCUGACCUUGCCUUCUGCCCUCAUAUCUCCAAUAAGCUGCAUAAGGGAGGAAAGGGCAACAGGGGCAGUGGCCUGGACAGCAGAUUCUUCUUGCUCAGUGGAGAAUGGCUCUGAAAUCCAAGAAAGUUGCAGACCACUGCCAGAUAGGCAGGACAAGAGUGCUUCAUCCAGAACCUACUCAACACUGAGGAACAGGAUGCAGGCCCCAGAGGAAAAGUUUAUUAGCAAAAGCAGCAGCCUUCUGCCUCUGCAAUGAAUUUACCAGGAGGAGCUGAGAGAGAACACUUAUGAAGUGACAUUGGCAUCCUCAGGCUAGAGAAGAAUGGCUACCAUCCUUUCUUAAGUGAACACAAGGCUGACCCUUGACUGUGACAUGGGUGAUGCAGAUACCUACAGGUGCCAAGAUGCCAACAUAAAUGAAAGAAACCAUUGAGCAUAAAAAAGUAAAAUAAAAACCAAUAAAAGGACAAAGCUCACAUGAUCAUCUCAAUAGGUACAGAAAAAUCUUGCGACAAAAUCCAAUACCUAGGGGUGCCUGGGUGGCUCAGUUGGUUAAGCAUCUGCCUUAGGCUCAGGUCAUGAUUCCAGGAUCCUGGGACAGAGCCCCAUGUCAGGCUCCCUACUCAGUGAGGAGGCUGCUU